UCUCUCUGUGUGUGUGUGUUUCUGUGUUCAUAUACACAUGUACAUGAUCUGCAUUUCUAGCUGGUAAUGUCUGUUUUUCUAUAUGCAUAUUUUCACGUUAUUUCAUUUAUGACAGAGCCAAGCUAGCAAAAUAAGACAAACUAUACAAAUAAUAAGAGGUGCUGCAAAAGACAUAUUGAUUAUGUAUAUGUGUUUGCCUUGUUCACAGCAGUAAUUCUCCAUUAAAUCUUAUUAAUAAACUGUACAGGUGUCUUAAACUUGAUUAUGUUACUUAUCAGAGUUUUGCUUUUCAGUGUAAGAAUAAAAUGUGUCGUAGACAAAGAGUUUUAAUUUCAUUAUAUUGUAGGGUUCUCAGGUGGUAUAACUACAGGAAUAGGUUCAGUCAUUGUGUAUCACUUUAUGGUGAUUAUUCUGAAACAGCACGCUAACAUAUUAUGGAUUCCCCUUUUCUUCCUCCUCCUCCUCCUCCUCCUCCUCCUCCUCCUCCCCUUCCCAAUUGUAACCCAAACAUCAGGAUGGAGUAAAAAGGCAGAGCCUUGGGAGUUAGAGAACUCUAGAUAGGAAUUCUCAUUGUGCUAAUUUGCCAGUCUAUCUUGGGUAAGUUUUUAGACUCCUCUGAAGUCUGCAUUCUUUCUCUUUUUGAAGCUGGGGUGAGAUAAGGAAGCCUCCCAACACCUGGCCUCCCAACACCUGGCCUCCCAACACCUGGCCAAGCCUUCUUGGAAACAUUGAUUAAAAGUAAAUGCAUGCAACAAAACAUACCUUGUCCAAGGCAAUAGUAUCAGGAAUCUACAUUCCUUGGAAAAUGAUGCCACAUCACCUGGCAUGGAAUUGUUAAUAUGCUAAAGAGAGAAAGUGAAACUAUAAUUUGGGCAAGAAAUUGUAGUGGACAUGUAGAGGAACCGGCGCCUACCUCCUACUAGAAUACUGAUUGUUUAUUCACUUCUCAAAGGUAUUACAAAGGCUGUGAAUAUUUAUUUAGUUCUGCUCCCAAUAGCCUUUCUAAUAGGGAAUUAUUUGGGUACAAUGAAAGACAUUUGUAAAUGCGACUGAUAAGACUGCCAUUGGACAAGGAGUGUUUUGUUGGACACAAGAAUUCUAUUAUCCCUGGCUUCAGUUGUCAAGUGCCCGGGGAACCCAGAAUUUAUGGUAGCAGCACAAUGGGCCUUUCAGGGCCCAGCGAAAGAGCUGUGAGAUCCUGCUCCAUGGCUUUUCAGGGCUUCUAAUCUUUUUAUCGGGCCAGGACAAUGCCGGAUUCAGCUGCUGCCUGAGCCUCCUGACUGUCCAUUGGCCAUCAGGUAUUGUGCAGUAAUUACCAUGGUGACAAUGGACUCUCUUCUACGCCUGUCCAUUGGCUCCUUAGAAAACAGCAAACGUUGUCACUUUGUAUUAGGUGCUUCUAAAGGCAUGGCUUACUUAGGAAAAUGACUGAAAGGGCCGAAAGAUAAUCGUGUUACAAGUUUCAUUUAAAAGGCUGCUGUGUCAAAACCAUUUGGAGCCCAGGAACUUUUGGUCGAUGGUUUCUUGUAAUUACAGUUACUUGUUGGACAGCAUCUCAGGUUCUGUCAAUGAGGAACCAACUUGAGAGACUUCACAUGGGCCAUGAACCAUUCGCUGCUGGCAAGCCCCUAAACACAGAGUGGGAGCAAAGGUCUAAGUAGAGACAAUGAAUAUCAUAGCCACAUUAAAACUCCUUGAGCCUUGGUUUCUUUAUAUGACAAAAAAAAAAAAUGGCAACUGUGAUGCUCAGAGAUGGAUAUUAGUUACAUUUUGUAUGAUUGCAAAUGUCCUCUAUAAAUGCUGAUGUAUCUCCUGAUGAGCUCUAUUCAAAGAUAUACUGAAAUAUAAAACAACAUAUGUAAAAUCACAACGUGUAUCUGUCUUUUGAUAAUCACAGCUCAUGAUUUUUAAUUGAGGUUCUGAAUCCAUUCUUACUAAUUUUUUUGUAGUAAUAAUAAUCCUCCACAGUUGUUACUAUCUACAUUUUAUAUAGGAAAAAAAAGGCCUCAGACAGUUACUGCUUAUUCAAAUUCAGUAUAGUUUAGCAGAGGUAAAAACCUGGGCUUUAAGUCAGGUUUUCACACAGUGCCUCUCUCUUUUAAAAAUUCAUAAUUGACUGGCUUAUCUUACAAAAUAUGCUUCGACAUAUGGUUUGGGGACUUUGGCAAU
rnacentral:lncRNA from 1 species